rnacentral:misc_RNA from 1 species
GAUGAAGAACGUAGCGAACUGCGAUAAGUAAUGUGAAUUGCAGAAUUCAGUGAAUCAUCGAGUCUUUGAACGCACAUUGCGUCCCCUGGCAUUCCGGGGGGCAUGCCUGUCCGAGCGUCAUUGCUGCCCUUCAAGCCCGGCUUGUGUGUUGGGUCGUCGUCCCCCCCGGGGGACGGGCCCGAAAGGCAGCGGCGGCACCGCGUCCGGUCCUCGAGCGUAUGGGGCUUUGUCACCCGCUCGAUUAGGGCCGGCCGGGCGCCAGCCGGCGUCUCCAACCUUCUAUUUUACCAGGUUGACCUCGGAUCAGGUAGGGAUACCCGCUGAACUUAAGCAUAUCAAUAAGCGGAGGA